AUUGAACGCUGGCGGCAGGCCUAACACAUGCAAGUCGAGCGGAUGAAGGGAGCUUGCUCCUGGAUUCAGCGGCGGACGGGUGAGUAAUGCCUAGGAAUCUGCCUGGUAGUGGGGGAUAACGUCCGGAAACGGGCGCUAAUACCGCAUACGUCCUGAGGGAGAAAGUGGGGGAUCUUCGGACCUCACGCUAUCAGAUGAGCCUAGGUCGGAUUAGCUAGUUGGUGGGGUAAAGGCCUACCAGGGCGACGAUCCGUAACUGGUCUGAGAGGAUGAUCAGUCACACUGGAACUGAGACACGGUCCAGACUCCUACGGGAGGCAGCAGUGGGGAAUAUUGGACAAUGGGCGAAAGCCUGAUCCAGCCAUGCCGCGUGUGUGAAGAAGGUCCUCGGAUUGUAAAGCACUUUAAGUUGGGAGGAAGGGCAGUAAGUUAAUACCUUGCUGUUUUGACGUUACCAACAGAAUAAGCACCGGCUAACUUCGUG
rnacentral:rRNA from 1 species